rnacentral:lncRNA from 1 species
GUCCAACUCCACUGUUGCCAGAAACGACAUCGACUCUCGCUCGAGCCCUCUUAGCUGUUGCCACACUUUUGGUGCAGGGCUUUGCGUCACGUAAGGGUGGCGUGGGUGUCUGAUGCCGGGGGUGUGAACAGCUGUGUAGCGGGGAGCCUCACCAGGCUCUCUACCUCAGGUAGGAGGGGUGCGUAGGAGAAGAAGGAGGAAGGGAGGGAGGUAGGGAGGGAGUAGAGGAAGUAGGAGGGAGGUAGCUUAGAGGUAUGGUAGAGGGGAGAGAGUGAAUGGUCUCUUCCCCACUCCGCCUUAAUGAUCUGGGUAAGGAUACACUCGGUGGGGUUAGGGAGAGGAGAGCGUUGGGUUGCCUCAUGCUAGGGAAUAAUUGGAGGACAAGGGCUUCUCCGUAUGACAGGAGCCUUGGUUUUAGAUGUAGGUUUAGGUAGGAAUUGUGAUAUGAACAUAGAUGUAUACAUAUUUAUUUUCAUUAGCCUUGAUAUUAUGUGUAAAGAGAGAUUAGGCUGUUAGGUUGGGUUAAACACGUAGGGAUGUACACUGCAAGAUUUUCGUGUUGUAGAACGGAAUGAUUGUAUAUCCGUUUUGUAGCCAGUAAUUGUCGAGGUUUAACACUGUACAUACGAUAAGAGAGUCUGAGCUUAUUUAGCGAACUUAAAUAUGACAUUACGUGAUAUGUAUGCCAUGGUUGUCUUAUAUAUAUGAGUUGUUAGUACUACUACGGUUAGAUAAAAUGUAUUAUGGGUAGAAGAGAGAAGAAUUAGAAGAAAGAAGAAAGAAGAAAGAAGACUCAAUGAAGAGGAAAGCAAGUCAACGUCUCAUUGCACCGGCCCUCCGAGUCUACGUCGAAGAUGGCCAACAUGCCUGACUACACAAAACAAAAAGGUAAGAAUUCCCAAAACGUUUUUUGAACAGAAGUGAAUGCAAUAUGAUUUAAUUCCAAGCGAAAAAGCUCAAGCAGCACACGGUCAAUAGAGCCAGUACCAGCG